UACGUAGGGUGCAAGCGUUGUCCGGAAUUAUUGGGCGUAAGAGCUCGUAGGCGGUUUGUCGCGUCUGCUAUGAAACCCGAGGCUCAACCUCGGGCCUGCAGUGGGUACGGGCAGACUAGAGUGCGGUAGGGGAGAUUGGAAUUCCUGGUGUAGCGGUGGAAUGCGCAGAUAUCAGGAGGAACACCAAUGGCGAAGGCAGAUCUCUGGGCCGUAACUGACGCUGAGGAGCGAAAGCAUGGGGAGCGAACAGG
rnacentral:rRNA from 1 species